rnacentral:rRNA from 1 species
AAUCAACGCUGGCGGCGUGCCUAACACAUGCAAGUCGAACGCGAAAGUCCCGCAAGGGAUAAGUAGAGUGGCAAACGGGUGAGUAACGCGUGGGCGACCUACCUCUGAGUGGGGGAUAACCUUCCGAAAGGAGGGCUAAUACCGCAUGGCAUCCCGUGUUUGGAUACACGGACAUCAAAGCCGGGGAUCGUAAGACCUGGCGCUUGGAGAGGGGCCCGCGUCCGAUUAGCUAGUUGGUGGGGUAACGGCUCACCAAGGCUCCGAUCGGUAUCCGGCCUGAGAGGGCGGACGGACACACUGGAACUGAGACACGGUCCAGACUCCUACGGGAGGCAGCAGUGGGGAAUUGUUCGCAAUGGGCGCAAGCCUGACGACGCAACGCCGCGUGGAGGAUGAAGACCUCGGU